AGUGAACGCUGGCGGUAGGCCUAACACAUGCAAGUCGAACGGCAGCACAGUAAGAGCUUGCUCUUACGGGUGGCGAGUGGCGGACGGGUGAGGAAUACAUCGGACUCUACUUUUUCGUGGGGGAUCACGUAGGGAAACUUACGCUAAUAUAGCAUACGCCCUACGGGUGAAAGCAGGGGAUCUUCGGACCUUGUGCGAUUGAAUGAGCCGAUGUCGGAUUAGCUAGUUGGCGGGGUAAAGGCCCACCAAGUCGACGACCCGUAGCUGGUCUGAGAGGAUGAUCAGCCACACUGGAACUGAGACACGGUCCAGGCGCCUACGGUAGGCAGCAGUGGGGAAUAUUGGACAAUGGGCGCAAGCCUGAUCCAGCCAUACCGCGUGGGUUAAGAAGGCCUUCGGGUUGUAAAGCCCUUUUGUUGGGAAAGAAAAGCAGCAGGUUAAUACCCCGCUGUUCUGACGGUACCCAAAGAAUAAGCACCGGCUAACUUCGUG
rnacentral:rRNA from 1 species